AACAAAUAUACGAUCCACAGGAACGGGCGGAAAGUGAACGAAUUGGAAAUACGAUCCAAACUGUUUUGCUGUCAGUUGUCAUCAUAUUUGUGAACCAUCGAAAAACAGUUACUGUUUGGCCAUCCGGCUGAUGAAUUUUAGGAGUCAAAGCGGCGGUCAGAAAAUGUCAUGCUCAAUACGCCACUCUCAUGCCGCACCUUCCAAUCAUGGCAUCGAUCAGCAGCAGCAGCUCGCCGUUUGGAACUACAUCCAUCGCCGGAACAACAUCCGCAUCCGCAGGCUGGAUUGGUGCAUUUUUUGUACGAGAACGAUAGGAACCCGCAAGAGGACUCUCAGAAGAUGUUGAUCCUGUUUAGGAGCUUGUAUUUGCAUAAUUGUAGGAAGUGAAAAUUAUGAAUGCAUAAUAAGAUGCCGAGAAAAAAAUAUAAAGAAAGUCGUGAUUUUAGAUUUCUAUUCAAAUAAAGUUGAAAAGUGCACGCUA